rnacentral:rRNA from 1 species
UACAGAGGGGGCAAGCGUUGUUCGGAAUUACUGGGCGUAAAGGGCGCGUAGGUGGCCUUCUAAGUUGAACGUGAAAUCCCUGGGCUCAACCCAGGAACUGCGUCCAAGACUGGGAGGCUUGAAUCCGGGAGAGGGAUGCGGAAUUCCUGGUGUAGCAGUGAAAUGCGUAGAUAUCAGGAGGAACGCCAAUGGCGAAGGCAAGUCUCUGGACAGUUCCUGACGCUCAUGCACGAAGGCCAGGGGAGCAAACGGG